ACGCAACCUCAGCCGCCAAAUUCCCUUCACAAUUUCAAUUAUCUGCAAAUUACAGUAAACAGUCGGCAAUAAUGGGUUCCUGUACAUGUUUUCUCCUCCUCCCAAUUUCUUUGAAGCCUGCAAAUUCAAACCCUAACUCUGACUUUUCAAAACGACAACACUUUCGCGCUUCAAAAAUCACCUGCUCGUCUAUAACGGCCAAAUCACAAUUUGCUAAACGGGAACUGCUCAAUCUUAUCUCCGAUCAAGAACGAGGCCUUAAAACGCAAAAAGAUCCCACCAAGCUUUCCGCAAUCAUCAAAGCUAUCGAUUCCAUGGCUGUUAUUGGAAGAGAUAUGGUCACCACCGAUGGCUCCCUCUCUGCCACGUGGCGGUUGCUCUGGACCACUGAGAAAGAACAACUAUUCAUCAUCGAGAAAGCCUAUUUGUUUGGAACUCAAGCCGGUGACGUUUUGCAGGUAAUUGAUGUGGAAAAGGGGGUUCUGAACAAUGUAAUUACUUUUCCACCAGAUGGGGUUUUCUUUGUAAGGUCGGAUAUUGAAAUUGCUUCUCCCCAGAGAGUGAAUUUCAGAUUUACCAGCGCAGUUUUGCGGGGAAAAAGUUGGGAAAUUCCGUUGCCACCAUUUGGGGAAGGCUGGUUUGAAUCUGUGUACCUUGAUGAUGAAAUUCGAGUAGUGAAGGAUAUCAGGGGAGAUUAUUUAGUUGUGAACUGCGCUCCUUAUGCUUGGACAGAGUAGAUUUAUAUGGUGACUUCACCUUUUGCUCUACUUCACAGUUACGGGUGUUGAAUGUUUGAAUCUGUUUACGUAGAUGAUGACAUUCGAAUUGCGAAGGAUAUUCGUGGAGAUUAUUUAGUUGUCAAUCGUGCUCCAUACAAAUGGAAAGAGUGAGGUGGUGAUAAAUUGUAUCUUAUCAGUCUCCUGUAGCAAAAUUUUAUUUUGAUCAUCUUACAAAUUCUAAUGUAACCACAAAUAUGUUAUUUAUACUUCUUGCACCCAUAUUUUGUUCUCUAGAUACCAGGAACUGAGAGAAGGUGCCAUAGCUCCUGAAAUUAAACUUUAAAAACUCCUUGGAACUUGAAGUAAAUCAUUGGGAAGAAGAAAGAUUUUCCAGUGAGUCGGUUUUUUGGUGUGGCAUUGUUGAUGCGAUGAGAGGGUUUGAGCUAAACAUCAAUCCGAGCUCAAACAACUUGAAUCAAAUCCACCCUAUUGUUAAUGUUACAUUUGGUAGGCCUGAAAUGAGUAACUCAGGUCCAACAUGUCAUUUUCUUCAUCAAAGUAUUUAUCAUCUCAUUAUACUUUUGAUCUA